rnacentral:rRNA from 1 species
AUGAGAUACCUGGGCCUCCCGCUCUCGAUCUGGCAACUCAAGAAGGUGGACCUACAAUUCCUAGAGGACAAGGUUGCCAACAAACUGGUUACUUGGGAGGGUCAAAACAUCACUACCAUUGGCCGCACGGCCCUUGUCAGGUCUGUGACCACCUCCCAGGUGAUAUACUUUAUCACACCGCUUGUCGUCCCUCCGGGCACACUGCACAAUGUCAACAAGCUGGAGCGGGCAUUUCUAUGGUCGGGUUCAGACAAGACCACCAGGGCUAAGUGUAAGGUCAACUGGGAGGUGGUUUGCCGUCCAAUCCAGUAUGGAGGACUAGGGGUGCUGAACACUGACAAAUUUGCUCGGGCUCUGAGAUUGCGCUGGCCUUGGUUUGAAUGGAAGGAACCAAGCAAGAUGUGGGUGGGCACAGAAAACCCAUGCGACGAGGCCGACCUUGACUUCUUCUACGCUUCCACCACCAUCAUUUUGGGGAAUGGUGCUAAAACGCCAUUCUGGGACUCCCCAUGGUUGCUAGGGCGCAAGCCUAAGGAGAUUGCACCGCUCAUUUACGAGGCCUCCUCAAGAAAAAACUGGAAGGUGCGGGAAGCUAUUAAGGACAAUGCUUGGAUUUUAAAGAUAAGGUCAGACACUGUGGUAUCCGUUGACCACAUAAGGGAAUUUUUUACCCUUUGGAUGCUUUUACUUGACGUCAUUCUUGACGAGCACUCCGAAGACGACAUCGUCUGGAAGCACGCAACUAACGGGCAAUACUCGGCCGCCCCCGCUUAUAAAGCACAAUUCUUGGGCAUGGUUAAUUCUCCCAUGGAGCAAAUGGUGUGGAAGGCUUGGGCACCGCCAAAAGUCAAGUUUUUUGCUUGGCUUGCUUUACAAGACCGGAUUUGGACGGCGGAUAGAUUGGACAAGCGUGGGUGGCAAAACUGUGGUCAUUGCCCUCUUUGUGGGAGGGAGCAAGAAACAGGGGCUCACCUUUUCUUCAAGUGCCGCUUCACCAAUAGGUUGUGGAGGCUGGUCAUCGACAAGCUAAGUCUGGACCAUAUGGACCCUUCCAGUUGGCACCUUGAAGCCUCCGUCAAGGAAUGGUGGGCGAACAUGACCGGCAUGGGUAUUCCCAAUAGGAAGGCCAUGGCCUCCCUCAUAAUGCUUGUUUCAUGGACCGUCUGA